rnacentral:rRNA from 1 species
UACGUAGGCAGCAAGCGUUGUUCGGAGUUACUGGGCGUAAAGGGUGUGUAGGCGGUUCUUUAAGUUUGGUGUGAAAUCUCCCGGCUCAACCGGGAGGGUGCGCCGAAAACUGGAGGGCUAGAGUGCGGGAAGGGAGAGUAGAAUUCCUGGUGUAGCGGUGAAAUGCGUAGAUAUCAGGAGGAAUACCGGUGGUGCAGACGGCUCUCUGGACCGCGACUGACGCUGAGACACGAAAGCGUGGGUAGCAAACAGG